rnacentral:rRNA from 1 species
GGACAUGAGAGCGGCGCACGGGCCGAGUAACGCGUACACGACCUACCUCUAACAGGGGGAUAGCCCUGGGAAACUGGGAUUAAUACCGCAUAUAAUUCUGAUUUUAAAAGAUUGGAAUGAAAGUUCAGGCGGUUAGAGAUGGGUGUGCGUCUGAUUAGCUAGUUGGUAAGGUAACGGCUUACCAAGGCGAUGAUCAGUAGGGGGCGUGAGAGCGUGGUCCCCCACACGGGUACUGAGACACGGACCCGACUCCUACGGGAGGCAGCAGUAAGGAAUAUUGGACAAUGGCCGCAAGGCUGAUCCAGCCAUCCAGCGUGCAGGAAGAAGGCCCUAUGGGUUGUAAACUGCUUUUGUCAGGGAAUAAACCUCUGGAUUUACUCCGGAGCUGAAGGUACCUGAAGAAUAAGCACCGGCUAACUCCGUGCCAGCAGCCGCGGUAAUACGGAGGGUGCGAGCGUUAUCCGGAAUUACUGGGUUUAAAGGGUGCGUAGGCGGCUUUGUAAGUCAGGAGUGAAAGUUUGCGGCUCAACCGUAAAAUUGCUUUUGAUACUGCGAGGCUGGAAUU